CUGAGGCUGCCGAGCUCGGGCUCCGGCUCCCAGGCUCGGGAAGAGUCCGGGGGGAGCUGGGCUGGGCCGAGGCAGGAUAGGCUGGAGGCGGGGGCAGCGGGUCCAGCCUGUGUUCAGCAGAGGGCGCCCCGCGUUCCGCUGGAGCGGAGCCGGGAGGAGCCUCCUGCGCCGCUCGGCUCGGCGCGGCCGGUUCCCAGCUGGUGCUGCCACGUCCUCUGGGCUGAGCCGGGACUCGGGCGCGGCGCUGCGCGGCUGCCGGAGCCCCACGUGCGCGGGGAGCCGGGCGGGACGGGGGAAGCGGCUGGUGCCCGGCGCUGGGGAAGUUGGAGGCGGCAGAGCCAGGACCCCUGGCGGCAAAGACAACUCCAACCCUAUCUGCUUGACAGAGAAGAGAGGCCCCAUUGGAGCUGUGAAGGGCGUACACCUGGGCAUGGGCUUCCCAGAUGAGUUUCUUGUACAGCACGACCUCCCCCAUUCUGUUGGACUGGGCAGAAUGUGCCUCUGACUUGACAAGGGUUGAUAAUUGUACUGAAGAGCAUCCUAAUUUGGAACAGUGUUGGCGAUACCUCCUCAGCAUAUAUUGGCCUAUCAGUGAAAUUGUCUCACUAUCAAAUGAAAUGGUGGCUUUUCCCUGUUGACUCAGUGUGAAAAAGAUUGCAAAGGCUUUCAGCAACGCUGCAUCUGAGACACACAUCAGCAGGAAACUAGGCUCGUCGUUAAUCCGGUGUUUCAUUUUGUGAAAUUGCCUACUCUGAGAGAAAUAAUACAUUUACAUGUAUAUUAACCAGUGUUUGCCAGCUCUUGGAACAAAGCCAGCUCUCUCUGGGCCAAACAAACACUCGGAGCGAAUGAGUAAUAAUCUGCUGUUGUCACUCCUAAUUUAUGGAUGGGUAGACAGAACAACGCUUGCCAUUUUAAGUUGCCCUAGUUGCUUCAA